AGUGGAAUUGCUAGGUCAUAUUUCAAGUCUGUGUUUCACUUUCCCAAAGCAGCUGCACCAUUUUGCAUUCCCUCCAGCAAU
rnacentral:miRNA from 1 species